rnacentral:lncRNA from 1 species
GCAACAAUAUCCUGAGACAUCUUUGGAGGCAUAAAAUGUUUGGUUGGAAUAUUAAAUAGAUGGAGCAAACCCAGCACUUAGCAAACAUAGCAGGCAACUAAGGUGCAAGUGACUAUUGACUCCAACAUGAAAACACACACUCAGCAGUGAGGUACUAAGCAUUCUAGCCCCUCUAGGGGAAAUUUGCAAGUUUACCCGCUUUUCCUGGUAUCAAUACACACUACCAUAUGGACUGCCGUUCUUGUCCUGUAAUUCUUCACUUAAAAAAAAUUAAUACCCUUCACUUAAGAAAAAGUUAAAAGUGACUUAAUUGGGCAUGGUGGUAUAUUCCUAUAACCCCAGCACUUUGGUAGGUGAAGCAGGAGGCUCAGGAAUUCAUUGCCAGCCUGGGAUAUUGCCAGACUUUCUCUGUGUAGCCCUGGCUGUCCUGGAACUCACUCUGUAGACCAGGCUGGCCUCGAACUCAGAAAUCCGCCUGCCUCUGCCUCCCAAGUGCUGGGAUUAAAGGCGUGCACUACCACGCCCAGCACCUGAAUCCUUUCUUGUCCAAAUUAUAAAUUGGUAAAAUGCCACUACUUUGUCAGUGGGUCUUUAUCUGUGCUGCUUUAAAAGGAAAGCUCUUUUGGAAAUCCCUCAGUACUUCUAAGCUUUCUAGUUUCUACUUCUCAAAUUUAGAUGUCAAUUCUGUCCACAAAACACAUCCUUAAUAUGAAGGCAGAACAAUUAUUCUCAUUUUUGAUGAGACUGAAGUCACAUUACUUGUCUAUGGUAAAGGAAAUGGAGGACUUAAGGGUUCUUCUCCAAACAGGAAAGUACCAAACUCCACAGGGUAGGGAACACAAUCUGCAAGGCAGACUUGGGAACUGAGUGGCCAGGUGACUUGGAAACUUAACUCGGGGAGAGAGGCGUAAGUAAACCUUCACACUGGACUCCUAGGAGCUCAUCAUGUCAGCUACAACUGUGGAGAAACCACUGCCAAUCACCAAAUUACACUUAAGAACCUGAGGUUUUCCUAUAUCACAUAGGACCUCUAUCAGUCCGUAUCCAUGCCCCAGACACCUCAACAAAUCUAUUCAAUGCAGAAUCCGUAAACAGCUCACACCCCAUUUAUUAUUUAAAAAUAUUUUGUUACAAAAGGAAAAAAAUACAAUGCAGUAUAAAAGAUUGACAUCGUCAUCAAGUUUAUUACACAAUUUUCAACCUAUCAGAAAGACAAACAAAUCACCGACAACAGGGGACGGGGCCUUGACCUUUUGAGGAUUGGGAUUUUUUUUUUCCUUUUGCUAUGAGGAAUAAAACUAAAAAUUAUGUCACUGAGUAAAAAUAAAAGUGGGGAGAAAAUAAUUCUCUGGGUAAACAGUUUUUCUGAUAUUUUAAUAUGUUGUUUUUCCUUAACUGUCACUUUACAUUUUUUUCUACAUUUUAAAAAGACACCCCAAGCUGCUUUCAAGAAUAAGCCCAUCACUUAACACUUAGCCAAUGAGGCAGGGUGCCAUGUUGAUGGAAUAGGGAUCGGUUUAGGGAACAGGAAAAUAAGCCACAACUUGCAGUCUCUGUCCAAGGGGAAUGUGCCUGUCCAACCUUGGGGCACUCCCUCCGUGACUGAAGGGGUCUAUUAGAAGUGUGCUGGGAUGAGAGAGGCAUCCAAUUCAGUCUCCCCCGAGUCUGAAGAAUCUCCAAUGACCCUAUGCCUCACACACUAAGUCCCAUCUCCACAUGUCAUGUCUCUUUUUACACCAGAUCUCACAGGCCCUGCAGAUGCAUGCAGAAGGAACAUCACCCUAUGGUACUCCAGGACUGUGGCUACCUCUAUCAGGAGCAACCUAUAACAAUUGGGAUGCUGAAAAAAAGCAAUUCCAUUUGCUUGUGCAGAAAAUGGCCACCAGUGUGCUGGUCCUUACAACUCUGAGCUGAGUUCACUAAAGUCUGGCUCCAAUUCUUCUCUGCUCCUUGUUAAAGGCUUGAAGCACCUCCAGGCAAAGUGACAGGGGGAGUAUUGGAGUAAAAGGAUAAAAAAACCAAAAACCAAAACAAAACCAAAAUAACCACAGUUGUGACUUUACCUGCCCAUUAGUGCUGAGUUAUCCCACAUUUAAGUCAAAGUAUGUACCUUGGGAAUAUGCAAGCCUAUGCUUACAUCAAACCUGAAAAAGAGCCCAUGUGAGUAGGCUACAUACUGCUCAAAUUGCUUUCUUCCCCACAUUUCUGGUACUUUAUAAAUUAGGGGUCCUCGUUACUGAGGUCCCAUGACAUCCCUAAGUCCAAAAAGGCAGUACCUUCCUCUAAAACAAGGAAGAAGCCUUCUUGGGGAGAAGGAUUCCAUGUUAAAUGGAAAGCCUCAGGGAAAGGAAAUACCUAAGAGCUGGUUAUCACAACAGGCAGGCAAGCCUGAAGCAGCAAAUGGUGGUAUCUGGCUGGCCUAGGCUUCUGGCAGAUAGCAACCUCCCGGGUUCUGCUUUGGAGGAACAAGUCCACUGAGGAGUCAGACAGCAAGGAGUCAAAAGGAUUCAGCCUUCUAGGAGGCCAGGGAAAUAAACCGUCAAUAUGUGAGGAGAAAACUGAGAACACUUGUCUUGUCACAAGGUAAUUUCUGUUCUCAUGGUCCCUCCUCAACCGGCUAGGAAAGUAAAGGAGUUGAAUAAAGUGGUAUGUUAGCAGGGUUUGGACCCUCUUGGCCCCAUCAAAUAUAGUAUUGAGGGCAGAACCCUGGGCAUUUUUGGCACACCCAGUCACUUUCCUACAAUCCCACAUAGAGGAUCCAUUUUCUCUGGGAAGGAAGUUUUCUCAGUAUCCUCACUACUGACUGCUCCUGGGCAAUCAGAAACUCAGGUUUCCUUGGACAAAGCACCAUUCUCUGUGGAGUCUAUGGGCUGGACAUGUUGCUCUCUUCCUGUCUGCCCUCAUUUCCUACCCCAGCAAGUCUUUAGGUUCUUCCCCCCUGGCAAACAGGAGGUGUGGGACUGGGAGGGCUGCCAAGCCAUCUUCAAUCCUGCAGGGCAGAGGGUUUUGCCUGGAGGAAGUUAGGGAUUUGGAAGAAGGGGAAGGGGUGGAGUGGCCUCCGUCCUUUAGUCCUGAUCAAGGUGAGGAGAUGCAAGUCCAUUAAAAACAAUUUGCUUCCACCCAGACUCCUGCAAUGAAAGCACCAGAAGAGAACAUCAGUUAGAGGCCGAUCUCUCAUCAGUGGGGGCUUAUUCGAGAUAAACAGGCAAUUCUUGAAAUCACAACCUCAGUAGACAAAGAGAGAAAGCUUAGCAAAGUAGAAUAAUAUGGACUGUCUGGCACAAAGUAAUGUGAGGGAGUGGCUGCACAAAGCAUAGUGAAGACAUAAAAAAAACAAAACAAAAAACCAAAAAAACCCAAAAUGGUGGCAAUUACUUUAAGGUUAAGAGGAAAAAACAGACAAUGGAAUAAGGUUUUUGAAAGCAGUUUGAGAACAUUUUAGCUAGGAAAGGUCAGAAACUUAACAUUUCUAGAAAUGUUGCUUUAAGGAGACGGGUUCAGAAAAUUUAUUCUGAGCAAGUCAUAGCUUACCUAAAGGGCAAG